UUGUCAGGUGAGAUAAUCCUUACCUUUUCCUCCUUUGGGAGGUCAUAUAGAACAGGAUGAUUGGAGUUCAUAUGAUAUGUGAUCAGCAUCUCUAUGUAAUCAGGACUUAAAACACCUUGAUUGCUUCUAUCUAAU